rnacentral:rRNA from 1 species
UGCUCGCAAGAGAACCGGCGCACAGGUGCUGCAUGGCUGUCGUCAGCUCGUGUCGUGAGAUGUUGGGUUAAGUCCCGCAACGAGCGCAACCCUUAUUCUUAGUUGCUACGCAAGGGCACUCUAAGGAGACUGCCGGUGACAAACCGGAGGAAGGUGGGGAUGACGUCAAGUCCUCAUGGCCCUUACGGGUAGGGCUUCACACGUCAUACAAUGGUCUGUACAGAGGGACGCUAACCCGCGAGGGGGCGCAAAUCCUUUAAAACGGAUCGUAGUCCGGAUUGCAGUCUGCAACUCGACUGCAUGAAGCUGGAAUCGCUAGUAAUCGCGGAUCAGCAUGCCGCUGUGAAUACGUUCCCGGGUCUUGUACACACCGCCCGUCACACCAUGGGAGUGGGUUUUACCAGAAGUCGUUAGCUUAACCGCAAGGAGGGCGAUGACGACGGUAGGAUUCAUGACUGGGGUGAAGUCGUAACAAGGUAGCCGUA